rnacentral:rRNA from 1 species
UAAAGUGGCGAGCGGCUGAGUAACACGUGGGCAACCUGCCCUUUGCACUGGGAUAGCCUCGGGAAACCGAGGUUAAUACCGGAUACUCCAUAUUUGUCGCAUGGCGAAUAUGGGAAAGCUCCGGCGGCAAAGGAUGGGCCCGCGGCCUGUUAGCUAGUUGGUGGGGUAGUGGCCUACCAAGGCAAUGAUGGGUAGCCGGGUUGAGAGACCGACCGGCCAGAUUGGGACUGAGACACGGCCCAGACUCCUACGGGAGGCAGCAGAA